rnacentral:misc_RNA from 1 species
AAGUCGUAACAAGGUUUCCGUAGGUGAACCUGCGGAAGGAUCAUUAUCGUGGGGCUUCGGCCCUCUCGAGAUAGAACCCUUGCCUUUUUGAGUACCUUUCGUUUCCUCGGCGGGCUCGCCCGCCAAUGGGGACCACAAUAAACCCUUUGUAAUACCUGUAAUCGUCUGACAAAACAAACAAAAAUUAAAACUUUCAACAACGGAUCUCUUGGUUCUG